rnacentral:snRNA from 1 species
GUCCUCUAUCCGAGGACAAUAUAUUAGAUUGAUUUUUGGAGCAGGGAGAUGGAAUAGGAGCUUGCUCUGUCCACUCCAUGCAUUGACCUGGUAUUGCAGUACUUCCAGGAAUGGUGC